rnacentral:rRNA from 1 species
GGGUUGUGAGGUUAAGCGACUAAGCGUACACGGUGGAUGCCCUGGCAGUCAGAGGCGAUGAAGGACGUGCUAAUCUGCGAUAAGCGUCGGUAAGGUGAUAUGAACCGUUAUAACCGGCGAUUUCCGAAUGGGGAAACCCAGUGUGUUUCGACACACUAUCAUUAACUGAAUCCAUAGGUUAAUGAGGCGAACCGGGGGAACUGAAACAUCUAAGUACCCCGAGGAAAAGAAAUCAACCGAGAUUCCCCCAGUAGCGGCGAGCGAACGGGGAGGAGCCCAGAGCCUGAAUCAGUGUGUGUGUUAGUGGAAGCGUCUGGAAAGGCGCGCGAUACAGGGUGACAGCCCCGUACACAAAAAUGCACAUGCUGUGAGCUCGAUGAGUAGGGCGGGACACGUGGUAUCCUGUCUGAAUAUGGGGGGACCAUCCUCCAAGGCUAAAUACUCCUGACUGACCGAUAGUGAACCAGUACCGUGAGGGAAAGGCGAAAAGAACCCCGGCGAGGGGAGUGAAAAAGAACCUGAAACCGUGUACGUACAAGCAGUGGGAGCACGCUUAGGCGUGUGACUGCGUACCUUUUGUAUAAUGGGUCAGCGACUUAUAUUCUGUAGCAAGGUUAACCGAAUAGGGGAGCCGAAGGGAAACCGAGUCUUAACUGGGCGUUAAGUUGCAGGGUAUAGACCCGAAACCCGGUGAUCUAGCCAUGGGCAGGUUGAAGGUUGGGUAACACUAACUGGAGGACCGAACCGACUAAUGUUGAAAAAUUAGCGGAUGACUUGUGGCUGGGGGUGAAAGGCCAAUCAAACCGGGAGAUAGCUGGUUCUCCCCGAAAGCUAUUUAGGUAGCGCCUCGUGAAUUCAUCUCCGGGGGUAGAGCACUGUUUCGGCAAGGGGGUCAUCCCGACUUACCAACCCGAUGCAAACUGCGAAUACCGGAGAAUGUUAUCACGGGAGACACACGGCGGGUGCUAACGUCCGUCGUGAAGAGGGAAACAACCCAGACCGCCAGCUAAGGUCCCAAAGUCAUGGUUAAGUGGGAAACGAUGUGGGAAGGCCCAGACAGCCAGGAUGUUGGCUUAGAAGCAGCCAUCAUUUAAAGAAAGCGUAAUAGCUCACUGGUCGAGUCGGCCUGCGCGGAAGAUGUAACGGGGCUAAACCAUGCACCGAAGCUGCGGCAGCGACGCUGAUGCGUUGUUGGGUAGGGGAGCGUUCUGUAAGCCUGUGAAGGUGUGCUGUGAGGCAUGCUGGAGGUAUCAGAAGUGCGAAUGCUGACAUAAGUAACGAUAAAGCGGGUGAAAAGCCCGCUCGCCGGAAGACCAAGGGUUCCUGUCCAACGUUAAUCGGGGCAGGGUGAGUCGACCCCUAAGGCGAGGCCGAAAGGCGUAGUCGAUGGGAAACAGGUUAAUAUUCCUGUACUUGGUGUUACUGCGAAGGGGGGACGGAGAAGGCUAUGUUGGCCGGGCGACGGUUGUCCCGGUUUAAGCGUGUAGGCUGGUUUUCCAGGCAAAUCCGGAAAAUCAAGGCUGAGGCGUGAUGACGAGGCACUACGGUGCUGAAGCAACAAAUGCCCUGCUUCCAGGAAAAGCCUCUAAGCAUCAGGUAACAUCAAAUCGUACCCCAAACCGACACAGGUGGUCAGGUAGAGAAUACCAAGGCGCUUGAGAGAACUCGGGUGAAGGAACUAGGCAAAAUGGUGCCGUAACUUCGGGAGAAGGCACGCUGAUAUGUAGGUGAAGUCCCUUGCGGAUGGAGCUGAAAUCAGUCGAAGAUACCAGCUGGCUGCAACUGUUUAUUAAAAACACAGCACUGUGCAAACACGAAAGUGGACGUAUACGGUGUGACGCCUGCCCGGUGCCGGAAGGUUAAUUGAUGGGGUCAGCGCAAGCGAAGCUCUUGAUCGAAGCCCCGGUAAACGGCGGCCGUAACUAUAACGGUCCUAAGGUAGCGAAAUUCCUUGUCGGGUAAGUUCCGACCUGCACGAAUGGCGUAAUGAUGGCCAGGCUGUCUCCACCCGAGACUCAGUGAAAUUGAACUCGCUGUGAAGAUGCAGUGUACCCGCGGCAAGACGGAAAGACCCCGUGAACCUUUACUAUAGCUUGACACUGAACAUUGAGCCUUGAUGUGUAGGAUAGGUGGGAGGCUUUGAAGUGUGGACGCCAGUCUGCAUGGAGCCGACCUUGAAAUACCACCCUUUAAUGUUUGAUGUUCUAACGUUGACCCGUAAUCCGGGUUGCGGACAGUGUCUGGUGGGUAGUUUGACUGGGGCGGUCUCCUCCUAAAGAGUAACGGAGGAGCACGAAGGUUGGCUAAUCCUGGUCGGACAUCAGGAGGUUAGUGCAAUGGCAUAAGCCAGCUUGACUGCGAGCGUGACGGCGCGAGCAGGUGCGAAAGCAGGUCAUAGUGAUCCGGUGGUUCUGAAUGGAAGGGCCAUCGCUCAACGGAUAAAAGGUACUCCGGGGAUAACAGGCUGAUACCGCCCAAGAGUUCAUAUCGACGGCGGUGUUUGGCACCUCGAUGUCGGCUCAUCACAUCCUGGGGCUGAAGUAGGUCCCAAGGGUAUGGCUGUUCGCCAUUUAAAGUGGUACGCGAGCUGGGUUUAGAACGUCGUGAGACAGUUCGGUCCCUAUCUGCCGUGGGCGCUGGAGAACUGAGGGGGGCUGCUCCUAGUACGAGAGGACCGGAGUGGACGCAUCACUGGUGUUCGGGUUGUCAUGCCAAUGGCACUGCCCGGUAGCUAAAUGCGGAAGAGAUAAGUGCUGAAAGCAUCUAAGCACGAAACUUGCCCCGAGAUGAGUUCUCCCUGACUCCUUGAGAGUCCUGAAGGAACGUUGAAGACGACGACGUUGAUAGGCCGGGUGUGUAAGCGCAGCGAUGCGUUGAGCUAACCGGUACUAAUGAACCGUGAGGCUUAACCUUACAACGCCGAAGCUGUU